AGAGUUUGAUCAUGGCUCAGGAUGAACGCUAGCGGCAGGCUUAACACAUGCAAGUCGAGGGGUAUAGGUUUUCGGACCUAGAGACCGGCGCACGGGUGCGUAACGCGUAUGCAAUCUACCUUUUACAGAGGGAUAGCCCGGAGAAAUUUGGAUUAAUACCUCAUAGUAUUAUUUAAUGGCAUCAUUUAAUAAUUAAAGUUCCAACGGUAAAAGAUGAGCAUGCGUCCCAUUAGCUAGAUGGUAAGGUAACGGCUUACCAUGGCGACGAUGGGUAGGGGUCCUGAGAGGGAGAUCCCCCACACUGGUACUGAGACACGGACCAGACUCCUACGGGAGGCAGCAGUGAGGAAUAUUGGUCAAUGGGCGCAAGCCUGAACCAGCCAUGCCGCGUGCAGGAUGACGGUCCUAUGGAUUGUAAACUGCUUUUGUACAGGAAGAAACAGUUCUACGUGUAGAGCCUUGACGGUACUGUAAGAAUAAGGAUCGGCUAACUCCGUGCCAGCAGCCGCGGUAAUACGGAGGAUCCAAGCGUUAUCCGGAAUCAUUGGGUUUAAAGGGUCCGUAGGCGGUUUUGUAAGUCAGUGGUGAAAGCCCAUCGCUCAACGGUGGAACGGCCAUUGAUACUGCAAGACUUGAAUUACUAGGAAGUAACUAGAAUAUGUAGUGUAGCGGUGAAAUGCUUAGAUAUUACAUGGAAUACCAAUUGCGAAGGCAGGUUACUACUAGUGGAUUGACGCUGAUGGACGAAAGCGUGGGGAGCGAACAGGAUUAGAUACCCUAGUAGUCC
rnacentral:rRNA from 1 species